AACGCACAUUGCGCCCCUUGGUAUUCCGAGGGGCAUGCCUGUUCGAGCGUCAUUUCACCAAUCAAGCCCCGCUUGGUAUUAGGCGAUCCAGGCCCGCGCCAGCCGCGGGCCCGCCCGAAAUGCAUCGGCGAGGACACCGACCCCCGGCGUGUUAGAUUUUCUGACGUCGGGAGCACCGGUUGGCCUCCGCCGCGCGACCUUUCAAUUUAUCAAGGUUGACCUCGGAUCAGGUAGGAAUACCCGCUGAACUUAA
rnacentral:misc_RNA from 1 species